rnacentral:rRNA from 1 species
UACGGAGGGAGCUAGCGUUGUUCGGAAUUACUGGGCGUAAAGCGCACGUAGGCGGCCAUUCAAGUCAGAGGUGAAAGCCCGGGGCUCAACCCCGGAAUAGCCUUUGAAACUAGAUGGCUUGAAUCCAGGAGAGGUGAGUGGAAUUCCGAGUGUAGAGGUGAAAUUCGUAGAUAUUCGGAAGAACACCAGUGGCGAAGGCGGCUCACUGGACUGGUAUUGACGCUGAGGUGCGAAAGCGUGGGGAGCAAACAGG